ensembl:snoRNA
AUCCUUUUGUAGUUCAUAAGCGUGAUAACUGGGUUUCCACACACAUAUGAGAUGUGCCUCCCUCAAACCUUGCUACAGCGUUGGUACAUUAUCUGUCUAACA